rnacentral:rRNA from 4 species
UUGACCUCGGAUCAGGUAGGGAUACCCGCUGAACUUAAGCAUAUCAAUAAGCGGAGGAAAU